CGUGUACGGGUCUGUGGUUGAAAGUCGAUGCCAGUCGCAGGCAAAACGAUCCACGUAAGCGGGGGCAAUUCCCGUGAGCAUGGUGCGGUCUAGAUGUAAGUCCAACCGGGUUCGCCCGAGAGGGGUAGUAGUGGGGAGCCACAACGGCUUAUGAGCGAACCUCCCUGUUGGCGUGUGUGGGGGCAAAAACCAGGUCAGCCGUUGCAGG
rnacentral:ncRNA from 12 species